rnacentral:rRNA from 1 species
AGAGUUUGAUCCUGGCUCAGGAUGAACGCUGGCGGCGUGCCUAAUACAUGCAAGUCGAACGCUUCACUUCGGUGAAGAGUGGCGAACGGGUGAGUAAUACAUAAGUAACCUGGCAUCUACAGGGGGAUAACUGAUGGAAACGUCAGCUAAGACCGCAUAGGUGUAGAGAUCGCAUGAACUCUAUAUGAAAAGUGCUACGGGACUGGUAGAUGAUGGACUUAUGGCGCAUUAGCUUGUUGGUAGGGUAACGGCCUACCAAGGCGACGAUGCGUAGCCGACCUGAGAGGGUGACCGGCCACACUGGGACUGAGACACGGCCCAGACUCCUACGGGAGGCAGCAGUAGGGAAUUUUCGGCAAUGGGGGAAACCCUGACCGAGCAACGCCGCGUGAAGGAAGAAGUAAUUCGUUAUGUAAACUUCUGUCAUAGAGGAAGAACGGUGGAUAUAGGGAAUGAUAUCCAAGUGACGGUACUCUAUAAGAAAGCCACGGCUAACUACGUGCCAGCAGCCGCGGUAAUACGUAGGUGGCGAGCGUUAUCCGGAAUUAUUGGGCGUAAAGAGGGAGCAGGCGGCACUAAGGGUCUGUGGUGAAAGAUCGAAGCUUAACUUCGGUAAGCCAUGGAAACCGUAGAGCUAGAGUGUGUGAGAGGAUCGUGGAAUUCCAUGUGUAGCGGUGAAAUGCGUAGAUAUAUGGAGGAACACCAGUGGCGAAGGCGACGAUCUGGCGCAUAACUGACGCUCAGUCCCGAAAGCGUGGGGAGCAAAUAGGAUUAGAUACCCUAGUAGUCCACGCCGUAAACGAUGAGUACUAAGUGUUGGGUGUCAAAGCUCAGUGCUGCAGUUAACGCAAUAAGUACUCCGCCUGAGUAGUACGUUCGCAAGA